UCUUCCGCAAUGGACGAAGUCUGACGGAGCACGCCGCGUGAGUGAUGAAGGCUUUCGGGUCGUAAAACUCUGUUGUUAGGGAAGAACAAGUGCUAGUUGAAUAAGCUGGCACCUUGACGGUACCUAACCAGAAAGCCACGGCUAACUACGUGCCAGCAGCCGCGGUAAUACGUAGGUGGCAAGCGUUAUCCGGAAUUAUUGGGCGUAAAGCGCGCGCAGGUGGUUUCUUAAGUCUGAUGUGAAAGCCCACGGCUCAACCGUGGAGGGUCAUUGGAAACUGGGAGACUUGAGUGCAGAAGAGGAAAGUGGAAUUCCAUGUGUAGCGGUGAAAUGCGUANAGAUAUGGAGGAACACCAGUGGCGAAGGCGACUUUCUGGUCUGUAACUGACACUGAGGCGCGAAAGCGUGGGGAGCAAACAGGAUUAGAUACCCUGGUAGUCCACGCCGUAAACGAUGAGUGCUAAGUGUUAGAGGGUUUCCGCCCUUUAGUGCUGAAGUUANCGCAUUAAGCACCUCCGCCUGGGGAGUACGGCCGCAAGGCUGAAACUCAAAGGAAUUGACGGGGGCCCGCACAAGCGGUGGAGCAUGUGGGUUUAAUUCCGAA
rnacentral:rRNA from 1 species